rnacentral:rRNA from 1 species
GUUGAUAAGGUUAAGUGAAUAAGGGCGCACGGUGGAUGCCUUGGCACUAGGAGCCGAUGAAGGACGGGACUAACACCGAUAUGCUUUGGGGAGCUGUAAGUAAGCUAUGAUCCAGAGAUUUCCGAAUGGGGGAACCCAAUAUCUUUUAUAGGAUAUUACUUUUCAGUGAAUACAUAGCUGAUUAGAGGUAGACGCAGAGAACUGAAACAUCUUAGUACCUGCAGGAAGAGAAAGAAAAUUCGAUUCCCUGAGUAGCGGCGAGCGAAACGGGAAGAGCCCAAACCAACAAGCUUGCUUGUUGGGGUUGUAGGACUCCAAUAUGGUAGUCUGUUAGUAUAGUUGAAGGAUUUGGAAAAUUCCGCUAAAGAGGGUGAAAGCCCCGUAGACGAAAUGCUAACAACACCUAGGAGGAUCCUGAGUACGGCGGAACACGAGAAAUUCCGUCGGAAUCCGCGGGGACCAUCCCGCAAGGCUAAAUACUCCCUAGUGACCGAUAGUGAACCAGUACCGUGAGGGAAAGGUGAAAAGCACCCCGGAAGGGGAGUGAAAUAGAUCCUGAAACCGUGUGCCUACAACAAGUCAAAGCUCGUUAAUGAGUGAUGGCGUGCCUUUUGUAGAAUGAACCGGCGAGUUACGAUUGCAUGCGAGGUUAAGUCGAAGAGACGGAGCCGCAGCGAAAGCGAGUCUGAAUAGGGCGAAUGAGUAUGUAGUCGUAGACCCGAAACCAUGUGAUCUACCCAUGUCCAGGUUGAAGGUGCGGUAAAACGCACUGGAGGACCGAACCCACGUACGUUGAAAAGUGCGGGGAUGAGGUGUGGGUAGCGGAGAAAUUCCAAACGAACUUGGAGAUAGCUGGUUCUCUCCGAAAUAGCUUUAGGGCUAGCCUCGGAAUUGAGAAUGAUGGAGGUAGAGCACUGUUUGGACUAGGGGCCCAUCUCGGGUUACCGAAUUCAGAUAAACUCCGAAUGCCAUUCAUUUAUAUCCGGGAGUCAGACUGCGAGUGAUAAGAUCCGUAGUCGAAAGGGAAACAGCCCAGACCACCAGCUAAGGUCCCAAAAUAUAUGUUAAGUGGAAAAGGAUGUGGGGUUGCACAGACAACUAGGAUGUUGGCUUAGAAGCAGCCACCAUUUAAAGAGUGCGUAAUAGCUCACUAGUCGAGUGACCCUGCGCCGAAAAUGUACCGGGGCUAAACAUAUUACCGAAGCUGUGGACUACACCAUUAGGUGUAGUGGUAGGAGAGCGUUCUAAGGGCGUUGAAGGUCGAUCGUGAGGACGGCUGGAGCGCUUAGAAGUGAGAAUGCCGGUAUGAGUAGCGAAAGACAGGUGAGAAUCCUGUCCACCGUAUGACUAAGGUUUCCUGGGGAAGGCUCGUCCGCCCAGGGUUAGUCGGGACCUAAGCCGAGGCCGAUAGGCGUAGGCGAUGGACAACAGGUUGAUAUUCCUGUACCAGUUGUUUUUGUUUGAGCAAUGGAGGGACGCAGUAGGCUAAGGAAUGCAUGCGAUUGGAAGUGCAUGUCCAAGCAAUGAGUCUUGAG